rnacentral:lncRNA from 1 species
CCCUCCUCUCUCAAACGCUCCCAAGCCCAUCUGAAACCCUAGCCACCUCUGGUCACUUUCCGACCUCUUUCUACUGGAAAUCAUGGCCUCUGAGGCCCUGUGUAACCUAUAUCUAACCCCACUCACCCUUAUCCUCCUCUUGUAUGAGGAUUCGAGGUCCGUCCUUGAAGAAACCGGCUCAGAAGCUCUCCGAUUCAAGUUCUAUGGCCCUUUCCAGCUUAUCUCCGGCGAGUCCUAGCCAUGUGAGUCUAUCUUUGGCUCAGGACCAGCCCGUUCCAGGUCUUCUCAUUUUCUAGGGUUUUCUCUGAAACCCUAAGCUUUGAGGUUUUCCUGUUUCUCUCUAAGAUCUACUGUCGAUCCGUG